UACGUAGGGAGCGAGCGUUAUCCGGAUUUAUUGGGCGUAAAGGGUGCGUAGACGGCACAGAAAGUCCUUUGUUAAAAUGCUUGGCUCAACCAAGUAGUGCAAAGGAGACUUCUGAGCUCGAGUGUGAUAGAGGUAAGUGGAACUCCAUGUGUAGCGGUAAAAUGCGUAAAUAUAUGGAAGAACACCAGUGGCGAAAGCGGCUUACUAGAUCAACACUGACGUUGAGGCACGAAAGCGUGGGGAGC
rnacentral:rRNA from 1 species